GACGAACGCUGGCGGCGUGCCUAACACAUGCAAGUCGAGCGGAGAUACAUUGAAGAGCAAUCAGAUAUGUAUCUUAGCGGCGGACGGGUGAGUAACGCGUGGGCAACCUGCCUCAUACUGGGGGAUAACACAGGGAAACUUGUGCUAAUACCGCAUAAUAUCAUUAUAGGGCAUCCUGUGAUGAUCAAAGGAGCAAUCCGGUGUGAGAUGGGCCCGCGUCCAAUUAGCUAGUUGGUGGGGUAACGGCCCACCAAGGCGACGAUUGGUAGCCGAACUGAGAGGUUGAUCGGCCACAUUGGGACUGAGACACGGCCCAGACUCCUACGGGAGGCAGCAGUGGGGAAUAUUGCGCAAUGGGGAAACCCUGACGCAGCAACGCCGCGUGAAGGAUGAAGGUCUUCGGAUUGUAAACUUCUUUGAUGAGGGACGAACACAAUGACGGUACCUCAAAACAAGCCACGGCUAACUACGUGCCAAGCAGCCG
rnacentral:rRNA from 1 species